rnacentral:rRNA from 1 species
CGAAUGCUGACAUAAGUAACGAUAAAGCGGGUGAAAAGCCCGCUCGCCGGAAGACCAAGGGUUCCUGUCCAACGUUAAUCGGGGCAGGGUGAGUCGACCCCUAAGGCGAGGCCGAAAGGCGUAGUCGAUGGGAAACAGGUUAAUAUUCCUGUACUUGGUGUUACUGCGAAGGGGGGACGGAGAAGGCUAUGUUGGCCGGGCGACGGUUGUCCCGGUUUAAGCGUGUAGGCUGGUUUUCCAGGCAAAUCCGGAAAAUCAAGGCUGAGGCGUGAUGACGAGGCACUACGGUGCUGAAGCAACAAAUGCCCUGCUUCCAGGAAAAGCCUCUAAGCAUCAGGUAACAUCAAAUCGUACCCCAAACCGACACAGGUGGUCAGGUAGAGAAUACCAAGGCGCUUGAGAGAACUCGGGUGAAGGAACUAGGCAAAAUGGUGCCGUAACUUCGGGAGAAGGCACGCUGAUAUGUAGGUGAAGUCCCUCGCGGAUGGAGCUGAAAUCAGUCGAAGAUACCAGCUGGCUGCAACUGUUUAUUAAAAACACAGCACUGUGCAAACACGAAAGUGGACGUAUACGGUGUGACGCCUGCCCGGUGCCGGAAGGUUAAUUGAUGGGGUCAGCGCAAGCGAAGCUCUUGAUCGAAGCCCCGGUAAACGGCGGCCGUAACUAUAACGGUCCUAAGGUAGCGAAAUUCCUUGUCGGGUAAGUUCCGACCUGCACGAAUGGCGUAAUGAUGGCCAGGCUGUCUCCACCCGAGACUCAGUGAAAUUGAACUCGCUGUGAAGAUGCAGUGUACCCGCGGCAAGACGGAAAGACCCCGUGAACCUUUACUAUAGCUUGACACUGAACAUUGAGCCUUGAUGUGUAGGAUAGGUGGGAGGCUUUGAAGUGUGGACGCCAGUCUGCAUGGAGCCGACCUUGAAAUACCACCCUUUAAUGUUUGAUGUUCUAACGUUGACCCGUGAUCCGGGUUGCGGACAGUGUCUGGUGGGUAGUUUGACUGGGGCGGUCUCCUCCUAAAGAGUAACGGAGGAGCACGAAGGUUGGCUAAUCCUGGUCGGACAUCAGGAGGUUAGUGCAAUGGCAUAAGCCAGCUUGACUGCGAGCGUGACGGCGCGAGCAGGUGCGAAAGCAGGUCAUAGUGAUCCGGUGGUUCUGAAUGGAAGGGCCAUCGCUCAACGGAUAAAAGGUACUCCGGGGAUAACAGGCUGAUACCGCCCAAGAGUUCAUAUCGACGGCGGUGUUUGGCACCUCGAUGUCGGCUCAUCACAUCCUGGGGCUGAAGUAGGUCCCAAGGGUAUGGCUGUUCGCCAUUUAAAGUGGUACGCGAGCUGGGUUUAGAACGUCGUGAGACAGUUCGGUCCCUAUCUGCCGUGGGCGCUGGAGAACUGAGGGGGGCUGCUCCUAGUACGAGAGGACCGGAGUGGACGCAUCACUGGUGUUCGGGUUGUCAUGCCAAUGGCACUGCCCGGUAGCUAAAUGCGGAAGAGAUAAGUGCUGAAAGCAUCUAAGCACGAAACUUGCC